rnacentral:rRNA from 1 species
UACGGGGGGAGCAAGCGUUGUUCGGAUUUACUGGGCAUAAAGGGCGCGUAGGCGGCCACCGCAAGUCGGUUGUGAAAUCUCUGGGCUUAACCCAGAAAGGUCAACCGAUACUGCGGGGCUAGAGUGCAGAAGGGGCAACUGGAAUUCUCGGUGUAGCGGUGAAAUGUGUAGAUAUCAGGAGGAAUACCGAUGGCGAAGGCAGGUCUCUGGGCUAUAACUGACGCUCAUGCACGAAAGCGUGGGGAGCAAACAGG